CGAUUACAGGUGCAAACCACUAUGCCCAGAACACAUUUUCUUAAUAUAUAUUUUUUCAUGCUGAGUGUCAAACCAUGAGCCUCAUGUCCUAGGUGAUAUUUAGUAUUCCCAAAAUGGUAUAGAGUGUGCAGAAGGCUUUUGUCUUUUACCAAACACACAUCACUUUGCUUUUGCAUAUAUAUAUAUACACACACACACACACACACACGCCUAAUAUACACAUAUAUGGUUUUUUCCCACACUGAACUCUAAGUGAUCGCCAUGCAAAGCAUAAUUGCUUUUGGAUCUUGUUUAAUUUCCUAAGAAGGAAGUUUCCUUCUAGGAAGCUGCACUGGCUAGAUGCCUUCAUGAAACACUAACAGGAUUUCAAAAGAAAUUUGUUUCUUCGGAAAGAGAAAGAGGUGUCCAUGAAACCUUUGUGAGAAGACAAAAACACUUAAGUGAUUAAAAACUACUCAUGGUCUGCAGGUAAAAAGGCAUAUGUAUCCCAAAUGCUGAAACCAUCGUACUUCUUCUAUUCACACCCCUAAACCGUGCAGAAGUUUGCCGGGAGGUGAGGACUCCAACAGCUGUGGAGAAACGUUUCUCUUUCCUCUCAGCUUGCACACAUCAUGGCGGUUGCCGCCCAGCAGCCUCCUCAGCCUGGCGGCGGGAAGCGCAGAGGCAAGGCUCAGUAUGUGCUGGCCAAGUGGGCUCGGCGCUGCGACUCUGGCGGACCCAGUCAGCUAUAGCCCAGGUUAUGGGGCAUCCUCAUCACCUGCAACAUGAACCAGCCCAAGUGUGUAGAGGAGGCCUACACCCUACUCAACGAAUAUGGCGACAACACGUAUAGGCUGGAAAAGUUUACAGACAAGGAUCAGAAGCCCCCUGGAAGUGAGGGAGAAGAUGAUGAUGUGGAGGCUGCCUUGAAGAAAGAAGUUGGUGACAUGAAGGCAUCUACAGAGAUAAGCCUAAGAAGAUUCCAGUUAGUGGAAAGUGGAGCAAAUAACAUUGUCUUCAUCAGGACACUCGGGAUAGAACCUGAUAAAUUGGUGCAUCAUAUUCUCCAGGAUGUGUACAAAACCAAGAAGACUCAAGUUAUUCUACAAAUGUUACCCAUCUCAGGCACAUGCAAGGCUUUUUUAGAGGAUAUGAAAAAAUAUGCAGAAACAUUUUUGGAACCCUAGUUUAAAGCUCCAAGCAAAGGGACGUUUCAGAUUGUGUACAAAUCUCAAAAUAGCAGUCAUGAGAGUCACAUGAAUAGAGAAGUUAUCAAAGAAUUGGGAGGAAUAGUGUGUACCCUCAAUUCAGAAAAUAAACUGGAUCUCACCAAUCCACAGUACAUGGUGGUAGUAGAAAUCAUCAAAGCUGUCUGUUGCCUGAGUGUCGUGAAAGAUUACAUAUUUAGAAAAUACAAUUUCCGUCUCCAGGAGGUGAUAAAGAACUCUAAGGAUCCAUCACAGCUUAACUCAGAGCAGGGAAAUGGGAAAGAAGGUAAACUGGAAGCUGCUGACAAAUCAGAUGAAAACAACACAGCAGAAGGGAAAAAUAACCAGCAGGUACUAGAGAAUACUGAGGUGCUGGGGCAGACGAAACCAUCUAAUCCGCAGGUGGUAAAUGAGGGAGGAGCCAAACCUGAACUUGCAAGUCAAGCCACAGAAGGGUCCAAAUCAAAUGAAAAUGAUCUCCCAUAGGAGGCCAUUUGGUGCUGGAGGUGGGUUUCUCAACUGGGGCUCUAUGAGAUGUUGCUGAGGUUCCACCUUGAAUUGUGACUAAAAACAGUUUUUCAUUUGUGUGCUGCAUUAUGCUGUUCUCACAGUAGUGAACAAUGAUUGCACAGCCCUGUUAAUCGUUUUGUUAGGGAUCUUUCAGCCCUUAUGGAAUUAUGUAGAGGCAGACCCAUGUGCCACACUAUUGCAAAGAGGGGAGAAUGGGAGGGGAGGGGGAUGCUGGCCUCUCCCAGGCUCCUCUUAUGCAGUGCCAGCUGACUUACUGUAGUGAACUGACUGUAAAGUAGAAGAUCAGAGGGGAGUUUUCAUUCGAAGGAAGGAGUUUUUACAUGCCACAGCUCAGCUGUCCCCCUGCCACUUUGUUGUAAACAUUGCCAGAAUGUGGAACAUGUAGGUUAGAAGUGAAUUGUUUGGUGAAGUUUUUGUACUUUUGUGAUUUUCUUGUUUGGCUACGUCUGUUUUUAUAUUUUAUUAACAUUUGUAUGUAACAAAGCUGACAGUUCAGUGCUGCAAUUUGGGAAGGCAAGAUGUGAGAAAGAAGAGAACCAUUUUAGGCACAGAGCUACAGACAUUUCUGAAAAGGUUGGUGAUGAAGAAUUUUGGUCUUCUGAGUAUACUUCAGUAUUCUAGUGCAACAAGGGAGACAAAGAAACUCUGUCUUUAUAAUGAAAGCUAGUCCUCAAGGGUUUUAUAUGAACUCAGUCCAAGCUGUCCUAUCCCAUUGUGCAUAGUCUGUGGCAUGCAACUUACAAAACUAGAAAUUGUAACUAUAAGUCACAGUCACUUGACAAGAAAGAAUAUUCAUUAUUUUCAAAUUGCUUUUGGACUAUCAAAACAGUAAGGCUUUUGUUCAAAAAUCACAUUUAGUCAAAAGGUUUAGGAAGCGAAUUAUCUAGUAGCAGAACUUAUCUCAGGAAAGGAAAAUAUGCAUACUUGAUGAGAAUCUAAUAACAUUACAAUGCUGGGGCAGGAUGCAGUACAAGAUUGAAAAGACUUUAUUCUCAAUAAGUCUGAUAUCUCAAAUGAUGCUAAAAAGGUUUUGCAUCAUUAACUGAAAAGCAGCAGCUUCUCUAUCCAGGAUGAUGAGUCAACAGGUUACACAAAUAUUUGUCACGCUGUAGCAUUUGUAAGAUUUGUAAAUGAUGAAAUUCAAAGAAAACUUCUUCUAUUUCUAGGCUACCAAAACAAAGGCCAAUAUAUAAUGUUGUGACAUCCUAUUUGGUAACUAGAGGUCUGUUAUCUACCCUCCUGGUGCCCCAUCAGUGGUUGUCUCCGGAAGUAAUUUUGCGUCAUUAAAAAAAAAAAAAAAAAAGGAAAGAAAUCCUGAUGUUGACGUCAUAGCACACUGCUUUCUUCAGAGAGAUGCUGAUAUCAAAAAACUGGAAGAUACAGUGACGUUCUGAAUAAUGCUACAAAACUGGUUACCUGUAUCAAAGACCCAUUUAUGCAAAAAUGUUAAAAAAAUUAAAACACCCAAAACAAAAACCUGGACAAACAGCACAUAAACCUCCUGCACCAUACAGACAUCCAGUGACUUAGCAGAGGGAGUUCUCUACAGGACAUUUGAGUUGAAAGGUGAAUUGCCAAGUACUUACAAGAAAACAGCCAGCUUUUGCUGAGUGCUUUGGAAAUGAAAAAUGGCUACAGAAACUAGCCUGUUUAGCAGAUGAUUUUCAUCACAUGAACAAAUGAACAAGUCUCUGAAAGGUUCUGGGGAAAAAAUUUUUUCUUAAAGUGACAAGAGUCUUAGAUCUAAAAGGAAACUGAUUUGCUACCUUGCCGGGGGAUUCUUGAAAUGUUUCUGCAGCCACUUGGACUUGAAAAUGAAGAGUACAACUCUCAAAUCUUUCUAGAACCCACCUGGAGGAACCACAAAACCCAAUUAAGUAGUAUUUUCUCUCCUUUUCCCAGCACUAGUAUAUGACUGUAUGGGGAACCCCUUCUGCAAACCUGCCCAGCUUGAAAUUUUGUCUCCGAAAGAAGAGAAUGAACUCAGCUCUUGUCUGACAGUCCUACAUUUCUGUGAAAUAAGAGUAUUCUUCAACUUAGUGCUCACACUCACACACCAUAAGGAUUCCCUGCAGGGGUUUCCUGAAUUUGAAAGUUUUUUCAUGGCCUAUUUUUUGGGUAAAAUAAUUGAAAAAGGCAGACACCAACAAAGUCUGCAAAGUAAACUGUCCAGAAUAAGAAUAUUAAGGAGCUGUAAAAUUAGCUUGUGGAAAUGGGCUUAUCCUUAAGUUUUAAAAAGUUAGGAAGCAGUAAAAAUGUUAGGCUUCCUGCACAAGUGGCUAUGUUUAUUUAAUGGCUAGUGAACAUGGGAAUAUAUUUUUAUCCUCGUAGCUAGCAGUUCUGUUUGGUAAACCAGACUAGAAUGAUUUGAGAGGGGCAAAGAGAAUAGGCAGGACCUUCCUUCUAUAGCUUUACAUAUUUAGAAUGUUAAUUCUUAAUGGUGUUGAAGUUACCUUGAAAAGAUUGAUAAGAGAUUUAUUAAUAUUAUUUAGGGGAAUAGGGAGGAUAGAAUUUUGGUGCCUUCUUCAGCAGACAUACUCCAUGACAUUCUUUUAUUUUGAUAGUGCAUGACAAAAGGACAUGGAAAAAAAUUGACCAUAUGCCUACAGAAUAUGCAACUCUGUGGAACUAAGUUGUUUUUACUUUGUGAAAGUUGCCACUCUACAGAAAGAUUUUGAUUUUAUAGUUUGUUUUCAGUUGCCUUUUAUAUUUAUUUGUAUUUGGUAAGGCUCGGUUGUUAUACAAGCUGUUCCUUCCCAGCUACAAAAUCCUCUGUUUGGUUGUAACCUGAACUCAUUAAAAGACUUGUUUUCAGGUUUAUCAACUGUUUAUUUUCACUGACAUUUGAGCAUGUUAUUUUAUAAAUGAUGAGAUUCCAGGGUAGGAGGUGAGUGCUUUUUAAUUCCCCUUUAGUUUUUUCUUCUAAAAAUUACGUCAGUUAAAAACAAAAAACAAAAAACAAAAAACCUGCAGUCUUGUGGUUGAGAAAACUUGUUUAGCUCUAUAGAGAAAAGAAUGUUAAACUUUGUAUUUUAAAACAUGUUUCUCUAAGGUUAAACAUGGUUUUCAAAUGUUAUUUUUACUUGUACUUUGCUUUUGGUACAGCCAAAUAUCAACCUUGUUUUUCAUAGUUCCUGAUAUUUUCAGAAAAAUAAAAAUAAAUUUGUUUCCUUAA